rnacentral:sRNA from 1 species
GGGGGCGGCGACGCCCCCCGACCAGGACCGGAGCAAUCCGGUCUGUCGCCCCCGCGCCUCAUUCUCGAUGAUGCCACUUCAAGGCGGCCCGCAAGGGCCGCCU